GACGAACGCUGGCGGCGUGCCUAAUACAUGCAAGUGGGACGCAAGGGAACACACUGUGCUUGCACACCGUGUUUUCUUGAGUCGCGAACGGGUGAGUAACGCGUAGGUAACCUGCCUAUUAGCGGGGGAUAACUAUUGGAAACGAUAGCUAAUACCGCAUAAUAUUAAUUAUUGCAUGAUAAUUGAUUGAAAGAUGCAAGCGCAUCACUAGUAGAUGGACCUGCGUUGUAUUAGCUAGUUGGUAAGGUAAGAGCUUACCAAGGCGACGAUACAUAGCCGACCUGAGAGGGUGAUCGGCCACACUGGGACUGAGACACGGCCCAGACUCCUACGGGAGGCAGCAGUAGGGAAUCUUCGGCAAUGGACGAAAGUCUGACCGAGCAACGCCGCGUGAGUGAAGAAGGUUUUCGGACCGUAAAGCUCUGUUGUAAGUCAAGAACGUGUGUGAGAGUGGAAAGUUCACACAGUGACGGAGCUACCAGAAAG
rnacentral:rRNA from 1 species